rnacentral:rRNA from 1 species
CAGCCGCCGCGGUAAUACGAAGGGGGCUAGCGUUGUUCGGAAUCACUGGGCGUAAAGGGUGCGUAGGCGGGAUCUUAAGUCAGGGGUGAAAUCCCGAGGCUCAACCUCGGAACUGCCUUUGAUACUGGGGUCCUUGAGUCCGGAAGAGGUGAGUGGAACUGCGAGUGUAGAGGUGAAAUUCGUAGAUAUUCGCAAGAACACCGGUGGCGAAGGCGGCUCACUGGUCCGGAACUGACGCUGAGGCACGACAGCGUGGGGAGCAAACAGGAUUAGAUACCCCCGUAGUCCCUGUCUCUUAUAC